AUCUAUUCUCCUUCUCCCCUUUGUAUUCCUAAUCCUCCCCGUCGCCCUUGGUGCCGCCGAGGCCGCCGCUCCUCCUCCUCUCUUCGCGCGCAUCUCGCUCCGUCCCGGCAUGUCUUCGUCGUCAAGCUCCCUUCAACACAGUUGCCGAGGGGGUGGAGGAGGAAGCCCUCCGUGGGGGCGCUGGUGUUGGAGACGACGACAGGGUUUGGAGCAGCGGAGGAUUUCCUUCCUCUGCCAGCUCGGAAUCCGGCGACCAUGUUACACAGGUACAACUCCACGGAGGAGUGCAGACUGUUGUUUCCUCAAAGAAGAAUGAGGAUGUCGAACCAAGGUGUACUGCCCCGCUCAUUUGCUUAUAAGAUGUUUCCUGACCAUCAUUGUGUGUCAACCAGAGCAUUAAGCACGAGGCAGGGUCGCAGUGUGCGGUUGUAGAAAGCUCGGGAAGCUCAGGCUCAUCAGGAUGUGCAUAGAAAGAAGAAGAAACCUAAAUCAGAAACAGCAGCUCAUGGCAAAAGUCAUCUCUUUAAUCUUGAUGAACUAAGUCACUACUUGAAGAUUCGGAAGGAGGCAAAAUCCAGAUCUAGACUUGAGUGACACUUGGAGUCCGGAGAUAUGGCACCAACGGUGAUUCUUUCCAUUGACAAGAUUGUUAUCUUGUUGUCUUGAUGAUGUGGGAUCUAUGGUAGCUUGGAGGACUACAGGCAGGCAAUACCUGACUACCUCCUAAAGCUGGUUGUAGAGCUAUUGCAGCUACAGGAGUGCAGGUUAAAAUCGGAAUUUACUCAACUGUCAAUUAUUUCUUUAUAAAUUUGGAGCUGCUACGGUAAUUGUGAAAAAUGGACGGAUUGCAUCAGCAGCGGCGGCCACCUGGGGCAGCCCGCAUCCCGCGAGAAGCGUCCUGGAGGACGAGCAGGCGAGGAUAUACCGGCUGUCUUCCCUCCUCUUCGUCCCUCCCCAACUGGAGGUUGGACAAUAAGUAUUCUUUUGAACCGUCCAAGUAUGUGGACUUGUAUACCAUGGUCCAAGAAGUUCAAAAUAAAACUGCAAAAGGUUCAUCGAGCUGCAAAAAUGGACUUCUACGGCUCACCACUUUCUCCUGCAUAAUUUUUCACGUUCAAUUCUAGCUUAAUUAGCAUCCUGGGUAUUGGAGUUGUACUUAAAUCAUAUUUUUCGUCUGUCAGGGCUAUGGACCCUGUUUUUUGUAGCUCCUUUUCAUUAGCUAAUAAUUAUUUGUAUUUACUAAAAUGAAACAUAUCCUUGGUCA